AGGAUGAACGCUGGCGGCGUGCUUAAUACAUGCAAGUCGAACGAAGCGCUUACAGCCGAUCCCUUCGGGGUGAAGCAGUUUGUGACUUAGUGGCGGACGGGUGAGUAACGCGUGGGUAACCUGCCUCAUGCAGGGGGAUAACAGUUAGAAAUGACUGCUAAUACCGCAUAAGCGCACAGUACUGCAUGGUACAGUGUGAAAAGAUUUAUCGGCAUGAGAUGGACCCGCGUCUGAUUAGGUAGUUGGUGAGGUAACGGCCCACCAAGCCGACGAUCAGUAGCCGACUUGAGAGAGUGAUCGGCCACAUUGGGACUGAGACACGGCCCAGACUCCUACGGGAGGCAGCAGUAGGGAAUAUUGCACAAUGGGGGAAACCCUGAUGCCAGCGACGCCGCGUGAGUGAAGAAGUAUUUCGGUACGUAAAGCUCUAUCAGCAGGGAAGAUAAUGACGGUACCUGACUAAGAAGCCCCGGCUAACUACGUGCCAGCCGCGGC
rnacentral:rRNA from 1 species